GACGAACGCUGGCGGCGUGCUUAACACAUGCAGGUCGAACGGAAAGGCCCUGCUUUUGUGGGGUGCUCGAGUGGCGAACGGGUGAGUAACACGUGAGUAACCUGCCCUUGACUUUGGGAUAACUUCAGGAAACUGGGGCUAAUACCGGAUAGGAGCUCCUGCUGCAUGGUGGGGGUUGGAAAGUUUCGGCGGUUGGGGAUGGACUCGCGGCUUAUCAGCUUGUUGGUGGGGUAGUGGCUUACCAAGGCUUUGACGGGUAGCCGGCCUGAGAGGGUGACCGGCCACAUUGGGACUGAGAUACGGCCCAGACUCCUACGGGAGGCAGCAGUGGGGAAUAUUGCACAAUGGGCGGAAGCCUGAUGCAGCAACGCCGCGUGCGGGAUGACGGCCUUCGGGUUGUAAACCGCUUUCGCCUGUGACGAAGCGUGAGUGACGGUAAUGGGUAAAGAAGCACCGGCUAACUACAUG
rnacentral:rRNA from 1 species